CAGCACCCUCGCCGCUCCAAACAUUCCUGGCGCGUGCGCACUGCAUUGCCCAUUAUGGGCAGAGGAAAAGUGACUUUCAAUGCGCAUGCGCCAGCCUGUGCAACCUGAUCCAGCCAGCGGAGGCACGGGAUUUCAGACGGAGAGGAGGAGGUAAUCGGAUUAAACAAGGGCGUCAGUGACCCCACUAA